rnacentral:rRNA from 1 species
AUGUCUGGGAAACUGCCUGAUGAGGGGGAGUAACUACUGGAAACGGUAGCUAAUACCGCAUAACGUCGCAAGACCAAAGAGGGGGACCUUCGGGCCUCUUGCCAUCGGAUGUGCCCAGAUGGGAUUAGCUAGUAGGUGGGGUAACGGCUCACCUAGGCGACGAUCCCUAGCUGGUCUGAGAGGAUGACCAGCCACACUGGAACUGAGACACGGUCCAGACUCCUACGGGAGGCAGCAUG